AUGCUCCUAACAUAUUAUUGUAGCCCAGUUUGUGCUGUUUACAGUGAUAUACGCCAUUUAUAUGUUUAUAAGUAACUGAAAAAAGCACAAAUGUAAGGGCAUGUCAAAACUUCUCCAGGCCCCCAAAACACCCUUAGACCCCAGAGGGUUAAAUGAUGUUAAUUUGGACAGCUGUUGUGUUAUGCUGUUUUGUAGGAUACAGACUCAGCCUCAUCAGGAGAGGAUGGACCUCCAAAUGUUCCUCCUCCUCCUCCUCCUCUGCUUCCCCCAGUAGCUCCACCUUCACCUCCACCACCGCCGCUGCCCUCCCCGGAACAUCAUCCUGCUCCACGGGAAGAGCAUGAAGAAGAUUAUUUCGCAGAUGACGAGGAGGAGCAAGAACAGGGGUGAUUUAAAAAAAAAAAUUUUUUUCAAUUACUUAUUAUGGUCUUCUCACACCUUGUGUUUCUUCUGCAUGGAUCUUUGUAGGUCCAGUCAAAUAAGUUACAGGUAUCACCUGCUGAUGUUGGAUUUUGGAGUUGGAUUUUGUUAUGAUAUACGUGACCAGACCUCAACAAACCUACAGCCUCAUGACCUCAUAACAAAACCCCUUUUUCUUCACUGCAUUCCAAAAGGAAUGCGCCUUUUUCCUCUUCUUCUCCAAAAGGAAAAGAACACCCAAACUGUUAUGGACAAAGGAUCUUCAAAAGGACAAUCCAGAAAAGACUGCUGCUAUUAAAAGCAAUAUACUCAAGAGACAAAAUAUAUACGAAUGUGGUAUUUUAUGUUUCAUUUAAUCUUACUGUAGUUAUCAGAAUUUAGGAUAUUUUAAUCUAUGACUUAACCCGUUUAGUAGGUAAAAUUAUAGAUAUUCGAUGUGACAACUAUCUCAUGUUUGGUAUUAAAUUACACUUUAUGCUGAUUCCAAUACAUUGAAAAAGAUGAAUGUUGACUUUUAGCAUCAUAAGGUAUGAUUAUAACACUUUAUAGAAAUCUGCUAGGAUAUUUACUUCAGGUGACAUUUAUGAGCAGAUAAUGUAUGCACGAAAAAGAAGUCGGUUUUGAAGCUCCGCCCUACAGAGACAAUGUGAUUGGGUCAGACAGUGAAUAGGAUGGACUUAAUUCUGUCCGAUAAAAACAGACACCCCAACUUUGAAAAAAGAACGGGUUGGAACAACUGGUGAAACUGCAAGAAACUUGGCUGAAAGUCUGGGCGUUGCCCCCCCGAUCGUGCUGCGAAACAUCUGGCUGAUCAUCUAAAAGACUUCAACACCCUGGCCACGUCUGACCAAAGAAAACUUGCAAAGCUGCUGCGUAAGAACUUCAAACUCGCUAUUCGCGCGCUACCAGAAAGCCAUCAAAUCCAAAAGGAGGAAUCCCGAGUGAUGUCACGCGACAACAACACGUCAGCAGGAAAAGUCCAGGGCUUCCCUCCAGCAACCCCUAAGAACAGCCUUCAACUCAACUUCAACUCACAGCAAGUAAAACAAACAAAUCUCUUAUUCGCUGAAGCUGAAUUGAAUGAAUCGUUAAAAGAUAACAAUAACUGAGUCUUCUGUUUGUGACGUCCCCAAGGUCGUCCUUAUUCUGAAGAAAAGAGAAUAGUUAACUUCCUUCAAACUGCUUUGAUCUUGCCAUAAUGUAUGUGUGUGUAUGUGUUUUGGUUAUUUGUAUUGUACCCUAGAAUAGUAAAUAAACGCUCGAUUCAU